rnacentral:rRNA from 1 species
GACGAACGCUGGCGGCGUGCUUAACACAUGCAAGUCGAACGGGGAUUAAGUUGGAAAGGCUUCGGCCCGGAAGACUUAAUUCGAGUGGCGGACGGGUGAGUAACGCGUGAGCAACCUGUCCCAGACAGGGGGAUAACACUUGGAGACAGGUGCUAAUACCGCAUAAGACCACGGGGUCACAUGGCUCUGGGGUAAAAGGAGCAAUCCGGUUUGGGGUGGGCUCGCGUCCGAUUAGAUAGUUGGUGAGGUAACGGCCCACCAAGUCGACGAUCGGUAGCCGACCUGAGAGGGUGAUCGGCCACAUUGGAACUGAGAGACGGUCCAAACUCCUACGGGAGGCAGCAGUGGGGAAUAUUGGGCAAUGGGCGAAAGCCUGACCCAGCAACGCCGCGUGAGUGAAGAAGGCCUUCGGGUUGUAAAGCUCUGUUAUAGGGGACGAAGGAAGUGACGGUACCCUAUAAGGAAGCCCCGGCUAACUACGUGCCAGCCGCCGCAGUAACAC